AUUCUGUUGUAAAAAGCGUUCUGUGGCUGAACUAGCUGAAAAUUCAGUUGUCCAAUAUCCCACAUGACAGAGGCUGAAGUGAACAAGCCUGUCAGGAGAAGACCCCCUCGUUCUCUGCCGCUGCCUUCCGGUAACGAUGCAGGUCAAGGCCAGGAUGAGAAAGGAGCUGAAACUGCAUCAACCAGGAAGAACAGAAACUCUGCCCUCAUUGAGAAACUGCAGGCCAGCCUUACACUUUCUCCCACGGGACCUC